ACCCUCCAGUUCCCUUUCCCAUCGGAUCUGAACACUGGUCUUGGUGGUCGUAAAGGAGGAAAAGGAAUGCUGAAGCUGGCCUCACAGCCUUAUAGUCUGAUAUAUAGCAUGUGGGCUAGUUUCCAACAGAG
rnacentral:snoRNA from 1 species